UACGAAGGGGGCUAGCGUUGUUCGGAAUUACUGGGCGUAAAGGGCGCGUAGGCGGCCUCGUCCGUCCGGCGUGAAAUGCCUGGGCUCAACCUAGGAAUUGCGCUCGAUACAGCGAGGCUAGAGUGUGGGAGAGGUUAGUGGAAUUCCCAGUGUAGAGGUGAAAUUCGUAGAUAUUGGGAAGAACACCGGUGGCGAAGGCGGCCAACUGGACCACAACUGACGCUGAGGCGCGAAAGCGUGGGGAGCAAACAGG
rnacentral:rRNA from 1 species